CCUUUGUUUUGUCCAAUUUCUCCCAUUUGGAAUGGUUGUAUUGACCCAAUAGCUGUACCUCCAUUGUAUCUAUGAAGUAACUAGCUUGCUUUUAAUUUUACUGGCUCAUAGGUGGUAGGGACUUGCCUCAUUUCAGAUGAGACUUUGGACUGUGGACUUUUGGGUUAAUGCUGAAAUGAGUUAAGACUUUGGGGGAGUGUUGGGAAGGCAUGAUUGGUUUUGAAAUGGCAGGACAAGAUUUGGAAGGGCUAGGAGUGGAAUGAUAAGGUUUGGCUCUGUGGCCCCACCCAAAUAUCAUCUUGAAUUGUACUCCCAUAAUGCCCAUGUGUUGUGGGAGUGACCCAGUGGGAGAUAAUUUGAAUCAUGGGGCAGUUUCCCCCAUACAGUUCUCAUGGUAGUGAAUAAGUCUCACUAGAUCUGAUGGUUUUAUCAGGGGUUUCCGCUUUUGCAUCUUCCUCAUUUUUCUCUUGCUGCUGCCAAGUAAGAAUUGCUUUUCACCUCCUGCUAUGAUUCUGAGUCCUCCCCAGCCAUGUGGAACUGUAAGUCCAAUUAAAUCUCUUUUUCUUUCCAGUCUCAGGUAUGUCUUUAACAGCAGCAUUAAAAUAGAAUAAUACAUGCAUUCUCAACAGUUUUUUAAAAAAUUCUGAGUUAUCCUUUCAUCAAAACUUGAAGGUAAAAGUGUUCUCCCCAGUGCUAUGACACCAGGUUUUUUUUAACAGUUAUUUCUCAUACAUUAAGAAAUGACUGAGACUGCCUGAAUCUGGCUUUCUGAAGUUGUAGCAUGAAAUAGAGCCUUUAAAACCUG
rnacentral:lncRNA from 10 species